ACACAUGUGGCCUUGUGGAGCUGGCCGGGCAGACACGACCAUGACAGCCCUUGAUCUCAGCCCACCUACAAUACUGAAUGCAGGGAGACUCACAAAGCCAUUAUUGCCUAAACCGCUGGAAACAAUAACAAACCCUUACUUCCAAUCGGUGCCCACACCCUGCAUUUCACAGAAAAAAAUGAUGAAACCUGUUAGAGGUCUACUGUUGAUUUACUUCCAAGAACUGAGACCUUUCAAACGUGAGACAGGUAACUUUGAGUCUUUGUUCCUCAAAAUUUGUGUCCUGUGGUUGUCCAGUAAACUCUAAAGCUUUACUUAUUAAAUACUAUCUGUGGUUUUCCAUCUGGUUGAUUAAUGUUAAUCCCCUCUUUCUACAGAGCAACUGGUUGUAACCGCUGUAAACAAUCAUGUGAAAUCUAAGCUAAUAGAAAAUUUAAAAAAAAAUAAAACCUUGAACACCCUGGCACUGCUUGUGUCAUGUCUUAGCAUGCAGUUCAGCUUCGUAGUUGGUGAAUGUAGUCAUGCAUGAAUAGGAUGCGAUUAGCAUGAAUCAUCUAAAGCUGACUACGCAAUAAUAUUGCCUAAUGUUGUAUCAGACUAUCCCAUAUUUCUUUUGGUUCACGUUUUUGUCUGUCUUGAGUCAGCAAAAACAAAAUGUGUUGAAACUGCAUAUGGGUUGACAGUUUCUGCUGCCCAAAAAGUCCAAUGCUGAAACCGCUCAGUGAUUAAUCACCUUUUAUCUUGCUUACCUUUUAAAAGUUACCUGUUUCACUGUAGAAAGGUCAUCUUUGUCUCUGUUAGUGAAUUGUAUGUAAAGUUUGUCAGUCUUAAACAAUGUGGCAUGCUUGUGGAAAACAAUCACAGCAUUUCACUUGUGCACAUUUUGUCAUGUUACAGCCUUAUUCUGAUUUAAUGUAUUACAUUUAUUUUUCACAAGAAUUUUACACCCUUUAAUAAUCUUUUUUUAAGUGAAAAAGGUUUGCUUGAAAUUCUUGCAGUUAUUAAAAGUUAAAAAUAAAAAUGCACUGAUAAGGCACCCUUGGCAACAAUUACAGCCUCAUCUUUUUGUGAGUAGCUUCUGUUGACCACUCUGACAUAGAGGCCUGAUUGGUAAAGUGCUGCAGAAAUGGUUGUCCUUCUCAAUGAUUCUCUCUCCACAGAGUAAAAAGAGUGACCAUUAGAUUCUUGGUUACCUCGCUGACUCAGGCUUUUCACUAAGACCUCAGUUGCUGAUAUUGGCCAGGCACUUCCAGACUACUUCCAUUUACAGAUGAUGGAGGCCACUGUGGUCAUUGGGGCUGUCAGUCCUGUAGUAAUUUGGAUUUCAUGCUUUGGUUUGUGCUCUGAUAUGCAGUGUCAGCUAUGGGAUCUUUUAUAGACAAGUUCCAAAUCCUGUCCAGACAACUGAAUUUCCCACAGGUCGACUCUACUGAAGCUGAAGAGACGUCAGACAGAUGAUCAGUGGAAACAGGGCGCACCUGAGCUCAAUGCUGCCAACUGUGUCAUGGCAAAGGCUGUGAAAACUCAUGUUAUACUAUUUAUUUAUUUAAAUGAUAUUUGCAAGAAUUUCAAGCAAACUUUUUAUGACUUUGUAAUUAUGAAGUAUCGUAAAUUUAACUCAUUUUGAAAUGAGGCUGUAACAUGAUGAAAUAUAGGAACAAGUAAAGCAUUGUGACUAUCAGAUGCACUGUACAAAUAAUCCCUGAGAUCCAAAAACUGCUGGGUUCAGAGUGCUCUGAAGGCUGAGGGUGAAUAGAGACGCUACAAAAACCCCCAAUUAUAUGUCCUCUAAAACCCUAGUGUAUCAUAUUUCAAACACACAGAUUUUCUGUGAGUUUUUGAGACUUCUACAUCAUCGGUGUGAUUUUUGUCAUGUAUAGAGAUUAAAAUUAACUUAAAUGUCUGCAUUUUCACAAAAAGUGUAAUUUUCUGGCAAUUAUUUCAUAUUUUAGGCUUUAAGGAGAUAUAUGGAUUAUUUAGUUAUUCCAGUACUGUCAACUAAAAAUAAAAAAAAUCAGUUAAACUGUAUCUUUUAAAAGUUUAAUAUCAGAACAUUCCACUUGUCGUUGAGUAAGGAUCUGGGCUGUGAACCAUACCUAUAUUUCUGGAAAUAAGAGGGAAAAUUGCUAGAUGAUGAUAGCACAAGGCUUCAAAAACGGGACUUCACACACCAGUUGGUGGCAUUUUCCCCUUAAAGGGACUAACAUCUACUUUUGGCACUAAGUUUUGAAGAUACAUCUUUCUACAGUGAGAAAAGCAACCUUUUGUUUCCCAGUGUUUGUGUGCUCUGCUUUCAGACCUUAUGCACUUGUAGAUAAGUGCAUUCACGUUUUUUCUUAGCUAACUGUAUCCCUAAGAUCUCAUCAAAACAAGUAACUUGGCACAUGCAUAACCUUAUUUUUGGGCAAAGUCACCAAACAUUUUAACAGCAUUUUAACUUGAACUUGAUUGGUAAUUCUUCAGACUGUUUUGUCUCUGUGACCAUCAAAAUGAAAGUUAUAUUUCAUUCCCCAUUCUUCUAGGUAGAGGAGUCAAAAUGAAUGACCAGAGUGAUUUUGUUUUAUUUUUGCUUACAUAAUCUGUUGAUGAAGCUGUUCUUUCAUUUUAAGAGAAAUGAAAAUGCUCUUUAUUUGUACUGAGUAAGUGAGAUCUAUGACAUGUUACUUUAUGCAGCUUACAUUGUGUUCUCACAAAAAACAGUCUUUGUAACAAGUUCCACCUCUUAAUUAUUUUUCUUUGUGCACACAUUUAUACUUGUUUCAAAAUCCAUAGUAUUUUUAUACAAAAAACCCCAACAGAAACACGCCUAACUGCACAGAUACACUAGCUUUCCUGCUGAAUGA